GGGACAGUAGGUUGGUCGUGCCACCGGUACGUACUGGUCUCACUGAUUCCUCCUUCCUGAAGAACCGUAAUGCCAUUAAUUUGGUGUUGCGGGGAAACAGGACUGUUACUUUGAAAAAAUUAGAGUGUUUAAAGCAAUCUAACGCUUGAAUACAUUAGCAUGGAAUAAUGAAAUAGGACGAUCGAUCCUAUUUUGUUGGUUUCUAGGAUUGACGUA
rnacentral:rRNA from 1 species